rnacentral:lncRNA from 1 species
AUUUUUUAAUUAAUAAUUAGAAAGGAUGUAUAUCACAACAUAAUCAUAGCCCUAAAUGGAUUCCGUAAAUUUACAUUAAACUUAUCUUCAACCUAUGGCCACUUGCCUUGUUUAUCAAAGAGGUUAAGUGAUUUUUUUUACUGUAGCUAGCAGUUCAGCUGACAGUCCAUUGUAGUAUGCAGAUACUGUAAAUUCUACAAAUACAUUUCCAAUAAUUCAGUUGGUUGCUGUCUGCUGGUCUCAACUACACCUCUGCAAGAAACUAAGACCAAUUCAUUACACACCCCACCCCCUAUAGAAAAAAUUAACAUUUUUGAUGACGACUUGUCAGAUUACUUCAUUAUAAAUAUAUAUAAAAAAAACUCUAAAAUAAUAGGUUUUUUUAAAAUAAAAUUAAAGAGAAUUUAUACACAACUGAAAACAUUGCAGGUCUUUGAAUCUAACAUGCUUUUUUUCAAUACAUUGCUGAAGUCAAAUCUACUUUUCAGAGGAACUUGUUUUAAAAGAUUUUUAAUUUACUUCACUUCUGUUGAAACAAAAAACCUUUUCAUCAAAAGUCUUACAAUUUUAACAAGUUCAUAGAAUUUUUUUUAUCAAAAUGUGUAUACAAAAACUGUUUACUUAUUGGGCAAUCAGCCAAAAUUAAUGAGAAAUCUGUCUGCAUCACAAAUGAAACAACAGGAGAUGGUAGAAAAUCCUAUAUAUGGUAUGUAGAACUACUGUUCCUCAUCUGCAUCUCGCGUUUCUGCAAGAGACUAGGAAUAUGUAAAUCAUACCCCCACCCCCAAUGUUGAUGGUAGAAAAAGAACCAGAUAAAACAUGCAGAAGAC